rnacentral:rRNA from 1 species
UACGGAGGAUGCAAGCGUUAUCCGGAUUCAUUGGGUUUAAAGGGUGCGUAGGCGGAAUAAUAAGUCAGCGGUGAAAGCCUGUGGCUCAACCAUAGAAUUGCCAUUGAUACUGUUAUUCUUGAGUAUAGUUGAAGUAGGCGGAAUGUGUAAUGUAGCGGUGAAAUGCUUAGAUAUUACACAGAACACCAAUUGCGAAGGCAGCUUACUAAGCUGUUACUGACGCUGAGGCACGAAAGCGUGGGGAGCAAACAGGAUUAGAUACCCUGGUAGUCCACGCUGUAAACGAUGAUCACUCGUUGUUGGCGAUACACCGUCAGCGACUGAGCGAAAGCAAUAAGUGAUCCACCUGGGGAGUACGGUCGCAAGACUGAAACUCAAAGGAAUUGACGGGGGCCCGCACAAGCGGAGGAACAUGCGGUUUAAUUCGAUGAUACGCGAGGAACCUUACCUGGGCUUGAAAGGGGAAUGACCUCCCGGGAAACCGGGAUUCUCUUCGGAGCAUUCUCCUAGGUGCUGCAUGGUUGUCGUCAGCUCGUGCCGUGAGGUGUCGGGUUAAGUCCCAUAACGAGCGCAACCCUAUUGUUAGUUGCCAGCGGGUAAUGCCGGGAACUCUAACGAAACUGCCGGUGUAAACCGAGAGGAAGGUGGGGAUGACGUCAAAUCAGCACGGCCCUUAUGUCCAGGGCUACACACGUGUUACAAUGGCCGGUACAAAGGGCAGCUACUUGGUGACAAGAUGCUAAUCUCUAAAACCGGUCUCAGUUCGGAUCGAAGUCUGCAACUCGACUUCGUGAAGCUGGAUUCGCUAGUAAUCGCGCAUCAGCAAUGGCGCGGUGAAUACGUUCCCGGGCCU